AAAAUGGCCCUUUUUAGGGCCAUAACAAUUAUUCCGUAAAGAGUUAU
rfam:Phlebotomus papatasi Contig88558.1, whole genome shotgun sequence.